CUCACUAUGUAUGGGCAUGCCAUUUUCAUUUUCUUCCCUCUCUCUCUCACUCUCACUCUCACUCUCACUCUCUUCCUUCCUCCAUUCUAUAAAUUUCUAGCUAGUUGAAGUCUUGAAGAAGCAUUACAAAGCCCACUUCAUGCUUUUCCACAGCUUUCUUGAACUACAAAUUGCUUCACUUCUCUCAAGAAUUGGGGUUUUAAGUUCAAGAAAGUUGUGGGAAAACAUGGUGAUUAUGGGCUACUUCUCUAUCCACCGCCGCUGCCACCACAAUUCCACAUUCUUGUUAAAGAGGAGACGUUAAUGCUCCCUUGCAUUCUCAGCUGUCACUGCAGCUACACAAUUAUGACUCUUUUAUACUCUCAAUCUACCUCUUUUAUGUAUAUAUACUUGCUUCACAAAAUUCAAUGAAUAAAAUUAUGAUUACUUUUCAA